rnacentral:rRNA from 1 species
UACGUAGGGACCGAGCGUUGUCCGGAAUCAUUGGGCGUAAAGAGCGUGUAGGCGGCCACUUAAGUCCUGCGUGAAAUCUUGCGGCUCAACCGCAAGCGGUCGUGGGAAACUGGGUGGCUAGAGUGCGGGAGAGGAGAGUGGAAUUCCUGGUGUAGCGGUGGAAUGCGCAGAUAUCAGGAAGAACACCCGUGGCUAAGGCGACUCUCUAGUACGGUACUGACGCUGAGACGCGAAAGCGUGGGGAGCGAACAGG